AUGGCCAUAUCAUGUUGAAAUAUUAGUUCUCAUCUGAUCACAGAAUUUAAGCAAUUUCAAGCCUGUUCAGCACUUAGAUGGGUAACCAUUUAGGAAUACCAGGUGAUGGAA